AGAUUCAUUUAGGAAAUAGAACCCACAAAACUCGGUGGCCAGUUGGAGAGGAAGGAAGGCCAAUUGGAAGGAGAGGGAAGGAGGAAUCUUGGGAGACUUCCAGGUUUUCUGGCCCAAGGAAUUGGGUCACCUAGGGGUCACUGACCUACAGGAAUUCCUUCUCUUAGCAAGGUGAGUGCAGUGCCGGAUCCAGUUAGUUGCGUCCCACCCCCCGACCCCCCACCGCUGGCAGCGGCCCAAUUUUGUUCAGGUCAAGUGGAGUUGACUUUCAUUGCUUCUUGGCUUCCACCCCUAAUUCUUCAGAAGUUAUAGGGAUGUAAUUCCAAGGGAAAAAUCAAGCU
rnacentral:lncRNA from 1 species